CCUACGGGAGGCUGCAGUGGGGACUAUUGGACAAUGGGCGAAAGCCUGAUCCAGCCAUGCCGCGUGUGUGAAGAAGGCCUUCGGGUUGUAAAGCACUUUCAGUGGGGAAGAAAGCCUUGGGGCUAAUACCCUCGAGGAAGGACAUCACCCACAGAAGAAGCACCGGCUAACUCCGUGCCAGCAGCCGCGGUAAUACGGAGGGUGCGAGCGUUAAUCGGAAUUACUGGGCGUAAAGCGCGCGUAGGCGGUCUGAUAAGCCGGUUGUGAAAGCCCCGGGCUCAACCUGGGAACGGCAUCCGGAACUGUCAGGCUAGAGUGCAGGAGAGGAAGGUAGAAUUCCCGGUGUAGCGGUGAAAUGCGUAGAGAUCGGGAGGAAUACCAGUGGCGAAGGCGGCCUUCUGGACUGACACUGACGCUGAGGUGCGAAAGCGUGGGUAGCAAACAGGAUUAGAUACCCCAGUAGUC
rnacentral:rRNA from 1 species